rnacentral:rRNA from 1 species
GACAGAGGGUGCAAACGUUGUUCGGAUUUACUGGGCGUAAAGGGCGCGUAGGCGGCGUGUUAAGUCAGCUGUGAAAUCUCCAAGCUUAACUUGGAACGGUCAGCUGAUACUGAUGUGCUAGAGUGCAGAAGGGGCAACCGGAAUUCUUGGUGUAGCGGCGAAAUGCGUAGAUAUCAAGAGGAACACCUGAGGUGAAGACGGGUUGCUGGGCUGACACUGACGCUGAGGCGCGAAAGCUAGGGUAGCAAACGGG